rnacentral:rRNA from 1 species
UAGGGAAUCUUCCGCAAUGGACGCAAGUCUGACGGAGCAACGCUGCGUGAGUGAAGAAGGUUUUCGGAUCGUAAAACUCUGUUGUUAGAGAAGAACAAGUGCUAGAGUAACUGUUAGCGCCUUGACGGUAUCUAACCAGAAAGCCACGGCUAACUACGUGCCAGCAGCCGCGGUAAUACGUAGGUGGCAAGCGUUGUCCGGAUUUAUUGGGCGUAAAGCGAGCGCAGGCGGUUCCUUAAGUCUGAUGUGAAAGCCCCCGGCUCAACCGGGGAGGGUCAUUGGAAACUGGGGAACUUGAGUGCAGAAGAGGAGAGUGGAAUUCCAUGUGUAGCGGUGAAAUGCGUAGAUAUAUGGAGGAACACCAGUGGCGAAGGCGACUCUCUGGUCUGUAACUGACGCUGAGGCUCGAAAGCGUGGGUAGCAAACAGGAUUAGAUACCCUGGUAGUCCACGCCGUAAACGAUGAGUGCUAAGUGUUGGAGGGUUUCCGCCCUUCAGUGCUGCAGUUAACGCAUUAAGCACUCCGCCUGGGGAGUACGACCGCAAGGUUG